UACGGGGGGGGGCAAGCGUUGUUCGGAAUUACUGGGCGUAAAGGGCUCGUAGGCGGCCAACUAAGUCAGACGUGAAAUCCCUCGGCUUAACCGGGGACUGCGUCUGAUACUGGAUGGCUUGAGUUUGGGAGAGGGAUGCGGAAUUCCAGGUGUAGCGGUGAAAUGCGUAGAUAUCUGGAGGAACACCGGUGGCGAAGGCGGCAUCCUGGACCAACACUGACGCUGAGUGAGCGAAAGCCAGGGGAGCAAACGGGG
rnacentral:rRNA from 1 species